rnacentral:misc_RNA from 1 species
GAUGAAGAACGCAGUGAAAUGCGAUACUUGGUGUGAAUUGCAGAAUCCCGUGAACCAUCGAGUCUUUGAACGCAAGUUGCGCCCGAAGCCACUAGGCCGAGGGCACGCCUGCCUGGGCGUCACACGCCGUUCCCCCCCCAUCUACUCCUUCGGGAUUGCGGGGGGGCGGAUGAUGGCCUCCCGUGCGGCUAGCCGCGCGGUUGGCAUAAAUACCAAGUCCUCGGCGACGCACGCCACGACAAUCGGUGGUUGCGAAACCUCGGUUGCCCGUCGUGUGCGUUCGUCGCGCAUCGAGGGCUCGAAAAAAUGCUCGGCUCCGGCUGGGCUUUCAACGCGACCCCAGGUCAGGCGGGGUUACCCGCUGAAUUUAAGCAUAUCAAUAAGCGGAGGA